rnacentral:rRNA from 1 species
CCUACGGGUGGCAGCAGUGAGGAAUAUUGGUCAAUGGGCGCGAGCCUGAACCAGCCAAGUCGCGUGAGGGAAGAAUGUCCUAUGGAUUGUAAACCUCUUUUGUCAGGGAGCAAAAUACCCCACGCGUGGGUGUUCGAGAGUACCCGAAGAAAAAGCAUCGGCUAACUCCGUGCCAGCAGCCGCGGUAAUACGGAGGAUGCGAGCGUUAUCCGGAUUUAUUGGGUUUAAAGGGUGCGCAGGCGGGAUAUCAAGUCAGCGGUAAAAUUGUGGGGCUCAACUUCUUCGAGCCGUUGAAACUGAUGAUCUUGAGUGAGCGAGAAGUAUGCGGAAUGCGUGGUGUAGCGGUGAAAUGCAUAGAUAUCACGCAGAACUCCGAUUGCGAAGGCAGCAUACCGGCGCCCAACUGACGCUGAUGCACGAAAGUGUGGGUAUCGAACAGGAUUAGAUACCCGAGUAGUC